AAAAAACCCUGCUUGUUUAAAUGUCUGCUAUUGUCAGCUCCCACAUGCUCAACAGAAAACUGUUCCAAAUAAAAGUGUUGGCUAUACCUUUACACAUGUCGUAUAUUAGCUGUAUUAAGCACCAAAAUAAUCAUUAUUUCUUAACACUUGCCAAAAUCCACA